rnacentral:rRNA from 1 species
UACGUAGGGUGCGAGCGUUGUCCGGAAUUAUUGGGCGUAAAGAGCUCGUAGGCGGUGUGUCGCGUCGGUCGUGAAAACUUGGGGCUUAACCCUGAGCUUGCGGUCGAUACGGGCAUCACUGGAGUUCGGCAGGGGAGACUGGAAUUCCUGGUGUAGCGGUGAAAUGCGCAGAUAUCAGGAGGAACACCGGUGGCGAAGGCGGGUCUCUGGGACGGUACUGACGCUGAGACGCGAAAGCGUGGGGAGCGAACAGG